rnacentral:rRNA from 1 species
AUGUCAACUAGUUGUUGGGGAUUCAUUUCCUUAGUAACGUAGCUAACGCGUGAAGUUGACCGCCUGGGGAGUACGGUCGCAAGAUUAAAACUCAAAGGAAUUGACGGGGACCCGCACAAGCGGUGGAUGAUGUGGAUUAAUUCGAUGCAACGCGAAAAACCUUACCUACCCUUGACAUGGUCGGAAUCCUGCUGAGAGGCGGGAGUGCUCGAAAGAGAACCGGCGCACAGGUGCUGCAUGGCUGUCGUCAGCUCGUGUCGUGAGAUGUUGGGUUAAGUCCCGCAACGAGCGCAACCCUUGUCCUUAGUUGCUACGCAAGAGCACUCUAAGGAGACUGCCGGUGACAAACCGGAGGAAGGUGGGGAUGACGUCAAGUCCUCAUGGCCCUUAUGGGUAGGGCUUCACACGUCAUACAAUGGUCGGAACAGAGGGUUGCCAACCCGCGAGGGGGAGCUAAUUCCAGAAAACCGAUCGUAGUCCGGAUUGCACUCUGCAACUCGAGUGCAUGA